UCUCGUGUUUGCAAGACUUCGCUCGUUGCCUUGGAAUUGCGAUGAUCUUUUUGUGCUAAACGCGGCGUGAAAAUGAAGUCUGAAUCUUAAUUGUAUGUAUAUGUAUGUGUACGCGCGCGCUCUGAGAAUUUCGACCUGUUAGAAAAGCAGAAGUAUUCUAGUAUUCUGCAUAUAGCAAAACUGUGGAUUAAGUGAAGGUUUCGAACACGCCGAGGCGAUGUCCUCGCAAAACAACGGGAGCAGCCUGGACUGCCUCAGUAUGAUCGUGCAAAGCAUCAAUGGGCCGUUGCAGUCAUCGUCCGAAAGUCACUAUUCGUCGCACCACUGAAGUUGCACGGUACCGAGGCUUAAUCCUUUCGGAUCAGUCUCUUUCCUUGGCUUUUAACGGCGGCGAUGUGUGCCAUUCGAUAUUUUAAGUGAAUGCACGCACACGAUCAAAGACCCGACUGCCUCUCCUCAGAAUAAUCCUAUCGUAUCGCGCCGAGCGUUUCGAAAGUCAUUGAAGGCGUAAUUUCCGUGAUUCGCGGAUAAGCGAGUGAAAAUGAAUGAUACCUAUAUCGCCAUUGACUCAAUAACGAAUAAUAGCUACUCUACAAUGAGAAAGAAAAGAAGAAAAGCCGUGUGUGUUUUUAAACUCUUAAAAAAGCUCCAGAAAAGAAAUGCGCGAUUUCUGAAACGCUAUAUAAAUUCUAAUCGGUAUACACGGACGGACUGGCACUCAAUUUUUUUGUCGAAACGAGAAUUACGCGUUGCGAGCGAUUAACGAGUCCAGUGAAAAGCACGCAAAUGUAGUAUAGGUUUCCGAUUGUUACCGGUAAAUCUGUGCGAAAUAUCGGAAGCGCUGUGGAAUAGUCAAAUAUUUUAUUUAUACCAAAGGAAAGCAUCCUAAAGGAUAAUCUCAGUCUCUCUGCACAAGCGUAAUAAGUAACUCGAGAUACUGUAGCAGAGACAAAAAUUCAUAGCAGGGUAAAAAUUAUUACGCGGCAAUUAUUUGUUGCAACUUUUUUACGAUUAUUUUAAUUUUAAAUAUUUAUGAAGUGAACGAUAUCCUAUAUAUAUAUAUAUUUAAUGCUUUUAAUAUUAUUUUCUAAAGAAUGUUUUCAAUUUAUCUGCUUUUAGGGAUAUUGAUUUAUAAUAAUAAAUGUAAAAUGCAAAACGAGUGCCAAAAAUAUUCUUCAAGCUUGUAUAUUUCUUUUACUUUCCAUGUUUUCUUCAUGAUAAACAAAUAAAAUUGUCUGUACUUUUCGCUAGAUAUUUCUGUGCUAUUGCAAAUGCUUCUUUGCGCUUCUGUCUCUUUGUAAUUGUGACAUAUUGUUGGUAUAGAUUUUUUUUCAAUUCGAUUUAUAAUAUUCAAGAUUAUCUUUCCGCAUUUGCAUCGUUUUGCAUUUCCAGUCUAAAAUUAUAAACUACAAGUUCCCGAUGCGACGAAGAGGAGCCUUUCUGCCUUAUGAAAGUUUCGCGCGAGACGUUUGUCUCUCGAUAUAUUCAACAAUUUCCGCGGAACAAAUCGCCGAAUUUUUCAUGUGCCUGCAAGCAAGCGUAUCAAUCAUGUAGCACAUAAGUGAGCUUCAUCGAUACCGCGACGGUGUAAAUAUGUGAAAUUAUGAAGCAAUAAAGAGAGAAACUAAUAACUAUGAAGAAA